CGGUGGAGCCACGGCCCGACAGCCCAGCCGCUCCACGGAGGCGUUUUGCAGGCCUGGGCCGGGGACCGCCAGCGGCCGCACAUCUCCUGGAGGACGUUUCAUGUUACCGGCACAGCCGGCUCCACCCUGCUCUUCUCAGACCCCGUCAGUCCGUCCCCGACCCGAGUGCCCCAGGAAGCGGGAGAGCGGCCCAUUUCACCCACAACUCUUGACCUGGAUCAUUCUUCUUGAUAAGAAAUAAAAUAUAAAAGGGGUGAACCUGGGGGCCUCAAAACCCACUCAGUCCCACUGCGGUACCGACUGCGCGUGCCAGCAGUGACAUGGGGACUGGAACGGGAAAACGAGUAAGCGGUCGUACUGCUGUGGCUACACUGCCGGAGCUGGAUUUCACAGCCCAUCUGACACUUUGGCAAACAAUAAAUUCAAGAAUGAA